rnacentral:rRNA from 1 species
UACAGAGGUCUCAAGCGUUGUUCGGAUUCAUUGGGCGUAAAGGGUGCGUAGGCGGCGCGGUAAGUCGGGUGUGAAAUCUCGGAGCUUAACUUCGAAACUGCAUUCGAUACUGCCGUGCUUGAGGACUGGAGAGGAGACUGGAAUUUACGGUGUAGCGGUGAAAUGCGUAGAUAUCGUAAGGAAGACCAGUGGCGAAGGCGGGUCUCUGGACAGUUCCUGACGCUGAGGUACGAAGGCCAGGGGAGCAAACGGG